UACGAACUGUGCGAACGUUAUCCGGAAUCACUGGGCUUACAGGGUGCGUAGGCGGCUUGUUAAGUAGGGUGUGAAAGCCCCCGGCUCAACCGGGGAAUUGCGCCCUAAACUGGCGAGCUGGAGUGAGAUAGGGGUGUAUGGAACUUCCGGUGGAGCGGUGAAAUGUGUUGAUAUCGGAAGGAACGCCGGUGGCGAAAGCGACACACUGGAUCUUGUCUGACGCUGAGGCACGAAAGCCAGGGGAGCGAACGGG
rnacentral:rRNA from 1 species